rnacentral:rRNA from 1 species
UCGCACGGUGGCAGCAAUGCCACAGUGGCGAACGGGUGAGUAAUGAAUCGCUAACGUACCCCGGACUCCGGGGUAGCUCUCCGAAAGGGGAGGUAAUACCGGGUAACAUCACCGCAGGGCAUCCUGUGGUGCUCAAAGGUCCGCCGGUCUGGGAGCGGGCGAUUUCGUAUCAGCUAGUUGGUGGGGUAACGGCCCACCAAGGCGACGACGCGUAGCCGGACUGAGAGGUUGGCCGGCCACAUCGGGACUGAGACACUGCCCGGACUCCUACGGGGGGCUGCAGUAACGAAUCUUCCGCAAUGCACGAAAGUGUGACGGAGCGACGCCGCGUGUGGGACGAAGCCCUUCGGGGUGUAAACCACUGUCAGGGGUUACCAAGUCCUGAGGGACCCCAGAGGAAGGCACGGCUAACUCUGUGCCAGCAGCCGCGGUAAGACAGAGGUGCCGAGCGUUA